GUCACGUCCCCUUAUCACUUUUCCAGCCCAGCGUUGUCACUCCGAGUGCUGGACGGAGAACUGAUAAGGGUGGGUG
ensembl:miRNA